AGGACUAGGUCAGGUCAGGAUGGUUGUUCUAUCGAAAAACACAUGCAACAAGUUAAACACUACCGUGAUAUGUGCAUCUGCGUUUGGGGAUGUAUGCCAUCUUGUCGUAAAUAUUAAUGGUCAUUCUUACAUUCAAAAUUUUACAAGCUUGAGCACGUCGGAAGAAACAUGCCUAGAGAUAGAUUUAUAUACAAUUUGAAGUCAUGACGACAUCUUAAAUUGGAUACUUACUAAGUAAUUGUUUUUACUGUAGCAUAGGAGAGACAGCAUACACAGCAGGUCAACAAAUUAAUAUUGGUUCUGGUGUUGUGAAGACUCAUACAAUUGAUGGUCAAACUUACUUUUCUUGUAUUGGUGGCCAAAAUGAUAUAAUGGUCAGAAAACAGGGAACGUCAUAUUGGGAUUCUGUUUUUGAAAAUAUUUCUAGCAUCGCAACCAUUGACACACCCACUGACAUAUGCUCUGAUGAUAAUGGACACCUCUAUGUCAGUGGACAAGGUUCAAACAACAUACACAGACUGACACAGGAUGGGAAAGUGUUAGAUAUACCACUUCAUUCUCAGCAUGGAAUCAAGGAACCAGUUGCCGUAUGCUUCAACAAAAACUAUACUAAAUUAUAUAUUGUCAAUGAAUGGUGGAAGUCAGUUUUGGUUUUUGAUGUUUAUUGAUGAUUGAUUAUAACUACAAAUCUUCCAUGAGAAAUAUACCAUGACAUGUAUAUUUUUUAAGUUUACAAUUGCACAUUAAAUUAAUAUCAUUCUUCACAAAAACGAAGUACAUGUCUUAUAUAUGAUAACCGUACAACGCAUGAAUGUGAAAACUAAUGAUUUAUAGUUAUAAGAAGAUGUGGUAUGAGUGCUAAUGAGACAACUCUCCAUCCAAGUCAAAAUUUAUAAAAGUAAACCUUUAUAGGUCAAAGUACGGUCUUCAACACGGAGCCUUGGCUCAUUACAAACAGCAAGCUAUAAAGGGCCCCCAAAAUAACUAGUGUAAAACCAUUCAAACGGGAAAACCAACGGUCUAAUCUAUAUAAAAAACGAGAAACGAGAAACACUUAUGAACAACAUCAACAAACGACAACUACUGAACAACAGAUUCCUAUGUUCUACUCAAUGUUAGCCUUGUGAAACAAAAUCUCUUGUGAAUCAUUGCUUCGCAUUUAAUUAAGACUGGAUAGUUUAUUUGUUUGUAAUUAAAUCGAUUGAUUGAUAAACGUUUGUUUUACACUGACUCUGCCUAAAAACGGUUAUGAGGUUAUGAUCCGAUAACCUGUUUAACUUGCAUUGAGCUGAGGCUGUUCAUUUU